rnacentral:rRNA from 1 species
UACCAGCACCCCGAGUGGUCGGGACGUUUUAUUGGGCCUAAAGCAUCCGUAGCCGGUUCUACAAGUCUUCCGUUAAAUCCAACUGCUUAACAGGUGGGCUGCGGAAGAUACUAUAGAGCUAGGAGGCGGGAGAGGCAAGCGGUACUCGAUGGGUAGGGGUAAAAUCCGUUGAUCCAUUGAAGACCACCAGUGGCGAAGGCGGCUUGCCAGAACGCGCUCGACGGUGAGGGAUGAAAGCUGGGGGAGCAAACGG